GCAAACAAUCACCUGUUUCGAACUAGUUGGUGCUUCAAAAUGAGAAAAAUUGAGGACCGCAUCAGCAACAUGACCGUUAACCGGAUAGGAACAACUGUGUCGAUGCACUGCCGAGGUCACAUGGUCAGUUUUUUAUAGAUCUAAAAGCAUCGAAGUGACUACCGAGAACAGUUUUCAUUUUAAUCAACUGUGGAUUUCUAUUCAUUUGCUAUUGUGGAACUUGCUACGGAACGACAACACCGAAUUCAAUGCUCGAUUUGGUUGAAAAGGUGGAAUAGCCCUGAAUUGUGCCCUGAGUUUACAAAUACGCCGAAAAACUUUUAUUUUUAUUUAGUUAUGUUUGUGA